rnacentral:rRNA from 1 species
GAUAAGAACAAUUUACACCCCUUAUCGAGGCAUCCAUUGGAGGGCAAGUCUGGUGCCAGCAGCCGCGGUAAUUCCAGCUCCAAUAGCGUAUAUUAAAGUUGUUGCAGUUAAAACGCUCGUAGUCGGACCUCGGAGCGCCCCCACGGGCCGGGCGGUUGCCUUUGUGCCCGUGGAGGUUUGUCUCCUUUUGUCGGGACGUGGUGUGUGGGGACUUUAUUGUUUUCUGCUCAUGAAGCUACGGGCCGACCGUUUACUGUGAAGAAAGUAAAGUGUUCAAAGCAGGCUAAUGCCUUGAAUAUGUGAGCAUGGAAUAAUAGAAUAGGACUUGGUCUCUAUUUUGUUGGUUUCUGGUGACUGAGGAAUGAUUAAUAGGGAUGGUUGGGGGCAUUCCGUAUUUCAUUGUCAGARGUUGAAAUUCUUGGAUUGAUGGAAGACGUACAACUGCGAAAGCAUCUGCCAUGGAUGUUUUCAUUGAUCAAGAACGAAAGUUAGGGGAUCGAAGACGAUCAGAUAC